rnacentral:lncRNA from 1 species
CCAUCCGUAAAUCGUCUAAGAUUCACUUUCCUGCGCUUAUUUACAUAAUCGCUCGCUCUCCCCCUCUCGAUAACCUUUCUCGCACCCGUCUCCUCAUCCCUUCACGGAUUCUCCAUUUCUUCUUCACUAACACUUCCAAUCGAAUCUUCCUGUAACCAUAGUCUCUCAUUCCCAACCUCAUAUCUUUUCCUCCAACUCUCUACGUCGGCUCUACACCACCGUAAGAAGUCAAAUGCUAGAUACUGUUACAAUGUUUGGAAGUUUGGAUUUACAAUAUCUCUUGCCUCCAUCGUUAUCAACUCAACCACAGUUCUCUUCCAACUCACUUGAAUCAGCUCCUCCCUCUUCAGCCCUCUCUUUCCAUAUCCUUCCUCGAUCGACGCCUCUCUUUCUCUCUUUUUUUUUUUUUUCUUUUUUUUUUCUCUAUCUCCUUAACUUAUUUAUACUCACCCUUGUGACUCA